AGAAUAGAGCUAAAAUAUUUAGACACUGAGGGUCCUAGCGAGACUGUCAAAUCUACAUAUUCUCUCUCUUUCUCUCUCUAAAACCCCUCUCUCUCGCUCUCUCUCUCUCUCUCUACAAUUCACUUAACUCACACAUGGAUUAGAUUAGAGCCUGAGAUUCGAUUCAAUCGCCGAUCUUUUCCUCUCUUCCUCGGGAAUCCAUCGUCUCCUUCUCUCAAUCCCAGAAUAUAAUGUUCCAGAUUUUCAAGAUUCUUCUUUGAAACUCUGUGCUUUAGGUGGGUAUUUUCUGAGUACAUUAAAAAAGGUUCCCUUUUAUGGAAAUGGGAUCUGCUUUUUCACAUCUCAUCAUAAAUAACAAUAACAAUGACAACAACAGCGAAAAAAAUAAAGAAUAAAAACACUAAUAAUAGUAGUAAUUGUAAUAAAAUAAUUGUUGUUGUUGUAUGAUCCCUCUGUGAAAAGUAAAACCUGUGGAGGUCAUGAUUUCUGCUACAGGUCUUGUCUCAUAUGCACAAUGCCUUAAACAAUGCCCAAGGUUCUCAUCUUAUGUCUGAGUUUUGGCUAAUACGAAGCAUGAAGAAAAUACAAAAUGAGAGGAUAUGAUUAUGGGACUGGUUCUGAUUUUGAUAGAGUUCUGACCCAAAAAAAAAAAAGAAGGAAAAAAACAAAAGAGAUGGACGGUGAGACAUUCUCAGGACUAGGCAAUGGCACCCAGAUUGAUAGCAAGAUCUUGCAGACAUUUCAAAAGAGCUUUGUUCAGGUCCAGAAUAUCUUGGAUCAGAACCGGCUGCUCAUCAAUGAGAUAAACCAGAACCAUGAAUCCAAGAUCCCUGACAACCUCAGCAGGAAUGUGGGUCUAAUUAGGGAGCUCAACAACAACAUCAGGAGGGUGGUUGACCUUUAUGCUGAUCUUUCCAGUUCCUUCACAAAAUCCAUGGAUGGUUCAUCAGAAGGAGAUUCCAGUGGCGCUUUGAAAUCAGAUGGCAAAGCUGGGCACAAGAGAAACAGGCCUGCUUAGUGAGUUUGAUGGUUCUUAAAAUUCUUUUCAUGGUGGUGGGAGUACAAAGAAGAGAGAAGAAUCUCAACAAUUUUUUGUUGGGGUAAAAGAGCACGGUUAGAUUCUGUAACCCUCUUGUAUCAGUGAACUGUCUCUAGUUAUCCACUCACUUCUCACAUUUGUUAGAAAUAAUUGCCCAAAAUGUCCUGUCCCAUUGUAACUCUCUGUAACUGUGGAUCUAAUUGAAUCAAGCAUGUUUCUGUUAAUUUCUAAUCUUGCUACUAAUUCUCCUGAUAAUGGAUAACAAGGUCACAAGUGGAUAAA